AUUAAUAAAUUGAGCGACUGUGAUUUUAAUGUUUCAGGAAAACUUCGGAAAACACUAUUCAUUUCCAUUUGUUUGUUAACUAUUAGACCAUCCGUAGUCAUAAAGCCCCUUUGUGGGCGUUAUGCGACACGUGUCGUGCCACGUCACACAGGGGCUUUAUGGGGCGUUAUGCCACUUGAGGCCGUAGUCAUAAAGCCACUACCUCAUCAUUACUCAGUUAAUUAAUUUUCAUUUUUUUUAAUUAAGUUCCUAUAAAACCCAGCUUAACAUCCAAAAGUUUGCCCUUUCUUCCCCACAUCAGUAACAUCCUCAACCAAAAUAAUCUACACCAACAACACCAAACAAACCAAUCAACACUUACCCACAAACCAAUUCCCCCAAAUCAUCAUCAAAACGUGCAGACUGUACCUUUCUUGUUUUCUUGGCUUUCUUUUGAGCAAAAACCACAAAGGUUGAAGCUUUAUCGGAAAUCUGCUGCUCCGAUCAUCUUCUCCGAUCACUUCAUCGGAGAUUCCGAUGACCUUCACGCCGACGUCUUCUUCUUCACUUCAUCGGACCGACAAGGUUGGCCGGUGAGAUUGGCGUGAUUGGUCUGAUUUUUGAAAAGCUCCAGCUUCGCGCCGCGAAGAGGAUAACGCCGACUCCAAAAUUCUACCCCAUAGCGCCCCCUGUUUCGGUGUGGGCCGGCGCUAUGGGGCGCCAUAGCUGAUUCCGGCGUGAUGUCCCGCCCACUACGGAUGCUCUUAGAAGCACCUAUCAGAGUCGGGUUUUCUUCAUACUCAACAAUUGCAAAAAGUGCAACCACACAUGCAUAGUCCAUGUUAGGUUGGAUUGUGGCCGUAAACUUGUUCGCAGCGUACUUUGUGUCUUGCGGUUUAUGCAUCUACAAGAUCAGUAAGUCACAUUAAUGAGGUUCAAAAUAAGUUUUAUGUAAUAUUGUAGAUACCAAAAUUGUUCUUAACUACCUGUGCUACUACUGUUGAAGAAUCUCCCUUAUAAAUUGUGAUGUUUCCCAUAGACCAGCUCCCUUUAAUCCUUAAAUCACAAACAUCCUUGCUUCUCAUUUUGUUUGCCAACAUCAUGAUAACAUUGGCCUUAAAUUUCAUCGUUUCGGUUUUUGCGGUAAAUAUCAUGUCCGAAUCGGAUACACUUUCACCCUUGAAUACAUUCCAUCUAUUAUGCAAACUAAAAGCCUGAAAUUUAACAAAAUAUAGUCUAUUAGAGAUAUAUUUAAAUGUGAACAAGUGAUUUUUAAAAGAAUUUUGAGAAUUUUUUAGUUGGAAAAUUUUGAGUUGUGAAAGCCAUAUGAAUGAGAAGUAGUAGUGAAAUUUUUGAGAAUCAUGAGAAGUAGGAGUUCUCAAGGUUAUAAUGUUGAUGAUUUGGGUGGAUAUAAAAGGAUAUUUAAAAGCACUACACGAUAUGUCUUUACAACGCGAGUAUAAACACUGAGCUGGAUGUCCAGACUGUAGAAAAAUGUGGCUUUAUCAACAACAAAAUUCGAGUACAUGGUUGUUGCUGAAGCACGCAAACAACUAGUUGCGUUCAAGACUUAUCUUCAAGAAUUCGAUAAGCAGCAGUCUAAUACUCAUUAUACAAUGACAAAGAGAGUGUAGUGAGACUUUCCAAGAAUCCAAUCGAUCUAUUGUGGGAAGACAUCGGGAUGAGGUAUCAUUUCGUGAGAGGAUUGAUCAAUAAAGGAACAAUCAGUUUGAAGAAUAUCUCGGGUGCUAAGAGCAGUACAAGUCUACAGUGUUGGAUAAGCUAAAGCGUUGCCAAGAAUAAUGUUAAGAAGACCAGGGUAAUUAGGGACAUUUAUUAAGGUGGAUUUUCAUUACAGAAGUACACUAGAGAUGGUGUAGUUGUUGGUUUGAAGACAACAAGUGGGAGAUUGUUGGAGAUAUGUUAUCUUCAGCCCACAUUUGGGCAGCCAAAAAUUCUAAGGAGCAAGGGGAAGGGUUUGGCUGGGCCUAACCUCAAUGGCUCAGUUUGCUUAGUAUCUUGUUUGGCAAGUUUUGCUAGUCUAUAUAUAGAUCUCAUGUACUUGUAAUCAUUGAUCACUACUUAAUGGGAGCACAAGAUUAUGUGCAACCUGAUAUUGCAGCUGUGGUGGAGGUUUGUUGACGUAGAGGCUCUAAUAAAUAACUUCUAACUACACAUGUCACAAUUAUACGAGCACAAGAUUGUUUUUCCUGCUUCUCUUAUUUUACUUGUUCUAUAAACCUAAAUAAGUAACCAACUAACUAUAUCUUAUCCUAAAUUAUCGUUUUUUAAAUAACAACUAUUAAAUAUGUAAUUUUUUUUUCCAACCGGUUUAAAAAACUGGCUUCUAUCCUACUUUCUAAAAAAAAGAGAUUGGUAGGAGUUAUUCUCUAUACAUAAAGUAUCAUCUAUCAGUAUUAUUGUUUCAAUUAUUGUUUCACAUUUCGAUCUCGAUUUCAGCAGCAAAUAUCAAAAACAAAUCAUGGAACAACUAUGAUUUAAGAAGUAGAAGCUUAAAGUUACCUUUUGGAGCAUCACGAUUGGCUUCUCAUUAGCGUCAAGUAGCGCGAGCUGUAAACGGUUGGUCUUACAUUCUUUUACUCUGAACAUGAUUGUAUGAUUAGUAUCAGUGAUCAUAAGGUUUCUACCAGGAUACUUCUUGACUAUAAUUUCAAGUGGUUCUGGUGUAACGAACUGAGGACCGAUGACAGAAAAUGGAGGGAAUACAGGUGCACCACUAGGUUGAGCCAUCAUCACAAGCAAACACUAAGAUUGUAGUUCUAUGCAGGUAUGCAUGGAGUAGGAGCAGUGUGAAGGCUUUUAACAUGAUAUUCAUUAACCAACAAGUUGACUACAUCCACAUGUGCGUAGUGCCUAGUGGACUGUAAUCUUUAACUUGAUACUAGAUAUUAAGUUAUAAUAUUUUUGAUUUAUUUAUUUCUCAGGCACCAUAAUUGACUACUUGCUUGUAAAGAACGUGAAGCGUUUGUCAUCAAGUGAAUUUCGAAUUCUUUAAUUCUGUAAUGUAUAAUACAACUGGUAUAAUGUUGUUGGCCGCCGGACCAAGGAA